UUGGAGGGCAAGUCUGGUGCCAGCAGCCGCGGUAAUUCCAGCUCCAAUAGCGUAUAUUAAAGUUGUUGCAGUUAAAAAGCUCGUAGUUGAAUUUCGGGAUCAAUAUGUUGGUCGUGCCUUGGUACGUACUGGCGUCAUUGGUUUCUACCUUCUGAAGAACCUCGAUGUCAUUAAUUUGGUGUCUUGGGGAAUCAGGACUGUUACUUUGAAAAAAUAGAGUGUUUAAAGCAGGCUCACGCUUGAAUACAUUAGCAUGGAAUAAUGAAAUAGGACGUUUGAUUCUAUUUUGUUGGUUUCUAGGAUCGACGUAAUGAUUAAUAGGGAUAGUUGGGGGCAUUAGUAUUCAAUUGUCAGAGGUGAAAUUCUUGGAUUUAUUGAAGACUAACUACUGCGAAAGCAUUUGCCAAGGAUGUUUUCAUUAAUCAAGAACGAAAGUUAGGGGAUCGAAGACGAUCAGAUACCGUCGUAGUCUUAACCAUAAACUAUGCCGACUAGGGAUCGGAUGAUGUUAAUUUUUUAAUGACUCAUUCGGCGCCUUACGGGAAAC
rnacentral:rRNA from 1 species